rnacentral:rRNA from 1 species
UACGGGGGGGCAAGCGGUUGGUUCGGAAUUACUGGGCGUAAAGGGCUCGUAGGCGGCCAACUAAGUCAGACGGUGAAUCCCUCGGCUUAACCGGGGAACUGCAUCUGAUACUGGAUGGCUUGAGUUCGGGGAGAGGGAUGCGGAAUUCCGAGGUGAGCGGUGAAAUGCGUAGAUAUCAGGAGGAACACCGGUGGCGAAGGCGGAUCUCUGGGCCAUUACUGACGCUGAGGAGCGAAAGCGUGGGGAGCGAACAGG